rnacentral:lncRNA from 1 species
UACAAUUCAUCAUAUUAGUCUCCGAAUUUAAAAUACCGAACAAAGUUAGAACAUUACAAGUCACGAGACCGCGAGCAGCGAGUUUGUCUUCACAUUACAAGUCGAUAUCUAUCAUCUAAACUACCAUCACAUAGAAGAGAGUUGCGGUCAUCACGAGAAAGACAGGCAAAAUUAUCUAAAGUACAACAUCAUCGACACCAAGCAUGUUACUGAAGCCGUGCCUGGAGAAUCACAUUCGCGUCCUUUGCCUGCUACCCCUGUCCUCGUCUUCUUCCACCUGUUGCGGAAAGGUGAGGAACAAAUUAUGCUCCAGCAGAAAUUUGUGCUAGUUCACAUUAGCGUACGGCACGAUGAAAUCACUUUGAAAGAAAAACUAACAUUGUGAAACAAAUGCAUAUUUUGGGAGAACCUCUAGAAUAAAGAAAUCAUCCAAAGAGCUUUCAUAAAGAGAAAAACAUAAUUACUGAUCCCCCAGGCCACUACUACUUUAUGUGUUGGACAUCAAAUCCUACGUGACAACUGACAAGACAGUAAGAUGUGUUCAAUUUUAUCAAUGUUUAUAGGCGACAUGGUGUAUGACCCCCCUAGGCCACUACUGCAAUCAUUUUGUAUUUUGUAUGGAGGUCAGAUUUGCAUUUGGCACUACUAUGCGAAAUAACCAUUUUGUCCAAAUAAAUAUUUCUACACCGCAUACUUAAUUAAACAAGUCAGAAUGGAAUUUCAAGGCCCAUAAUUCAGAAAAUGUAAAGUUUCUUUACAUUAUCUAGUGAACACAGAAAAAUGAGAAGUAUCUUCGCAAAUCAGAGCACUCUAUAACAUGCAAAAUUAAAAUCAGUAGAAACAAGGGAAAUGUUUACCAUCUUCAUCACCAAAGCCUUCAAAAUCUUCCAUAUCAUCCAUGUCACCCAUCUCGAUAGCAUCACCUUCAACAUACUCUAUCUCGCCUUCCUGUAUUGGCAAGUGAAUCCACAAUAUAUGGGAAAGAUUGUGAGCAGUGAGAACAUAAAAAAACUUAGCUUGAUUCUCAGAGUCGGUACCGUCUUACUUCUUCCUCUUCUAUCUCAAG